rnacentral:lncRNA from 1 species
UAGGCGCAGUCAUUGUUCGUGGCAGGGGUGGGCAGGGGAAGUGGACAAAAGUGGUGUAUUUGUGAUGCCAUCACCAAAUUAGAGACAGCAAUUAUCAUGGAGCAGGCAGUAUUGAAGGUCAAGAAGGCUGGGUUUGGUCCACAUCAUCACACUUUUUGGUCAUUUGUCAAACCUGAACUCAUCUGCAUGGCCCGCAAUCAGAGAGAGCGCAGAGCAGCAUCCCAUCAGGCUGAUGCCUUAUGCCACAAGUUUGCUUUGAGUGAACCAUUCAAAAGUUAUGGUGAUGUUAAGAUGCCCACUGUUAUGGAAGUGUAUGGCAUGCCAGCUAAUUCAAUAUGGAUCAUAAAUGCUGCGUCCGAACUUGUAACAGUUUUAUCGACCCUGGUGGUGGCCUACAACUCCCUCACGUCUUCUUGGUCUUCUUGAGCAGACUGCAAGCCGAGGACACGACAAACCGGACAGCUUGGCAACCAGCUCGUUCGCUGGCCCACUCAGGCCUGGCCACUGCCCGCUAAGGCCGUCCUGCUGACCUGAAUCAGGAUGGGUCCACGGCGGGGUUAGCGGCCGCGCUCUCAACCACUGGUUUUCAAGCGUACGGCAACAGUGGAUAGUAGUCGACGAGCUGCUUCCUGCGUGCGGGAGGUAAUUAAUGCUACAAAAACGGCGCCUCGUAGGCAGCGGCAGCGUGUGACAACGUACGUUAAUGCGGGUGGCUUGCUUGAAUGUUCUCGGUUAUAUACUGUGCGCGGCUUAUACUAUCUCGUUACCGGAAUGUACGCAAACAUGAAGCUAUAAACAAGCGCCUUAUAGUGCUUUCGUGACGAAACUGGGCACAGGAUAUGCCCAGCUGUUUUGUUCUGCUGUUCGGCGUUAUAAACCUUCUUGAAGGCG